UCCGGCGUAGCUCAGCGGUAGAGCGGGUCCCUGUUAAGGACAAGGUCGCAGGUUCGAAUCCUGCCGCCGGAG
rnacentral:tRNA from 1 species